GCUGGCGGCGUGCUUAAGACAUGCAAGUCGAACGAGAAAGCCACUUCGGUGGUGAGUAAAGUGGCGCACGGGUGAGUAACGCGUGGGUAAUCUGCCCUUUCGUCUGGAACAACUGCGGGAAACUGCAGCUAAUUCCGGAUAAGACUACGACGACUCCGGUCGACGUGGAAAAAGGUGGCCUCUCCUUGGAAGCUAUCGCGAAGGGACGAGCCCGCGUUCCAUUAGCUAGUUGGUGGGGUAAAAGCCUACCAAGGCUCCGAUGGAUAGCUGGUCUGAGAGGAUGAUCAGCCACACUGGGACUGAGACACGGCCCAGACUCCUACGGGAGGCAGCAGUCGGGAAUUUUGUCCAAUGGGGGAAACCCUGAGACAGCAACGCCGCGUGAGGGAUGAAGGCCUUCGGGUCGUAAACCUCUGUCAGGAGGGAAGAAAGCUUCAUUGCAAAUAGUUAUGAAGUCUGACGGUACCUCCAAAGGAAGCACCGGCUAACUCCGUGCCAGCAGCCGCGGUAAUACGGAGGGUGCGAGCGUUGUUCGGAAUCAUUGGGCGUAAAGCGG
rnacentral:rRNA from 1 species